rnacentral:rRNA from 1 species
GAUGAACGCUGGCGGCGUGCCUAAUACAUGCAAGUCGAGCGAACGGACGAGAAGCUUGCUUCUCUGAUGUUAGCGGUGGACGGGUGAGUAACACGUGGAUAACCUACCUAUAAGACUGGGAUAACUUCGGGAAACCGGAGCUAAUACCGGAUGAUAUUUUGAACCGCAUGGUUCAAAAGUGAAAGACGGUCUUGCUGUCACUUAUAGAUGGAUCCGCGCUGCAUUAGCUAGUUGGUAAGGUAACGGCUUACCAAGGCAACGAUGCAUAGCCGACCUGAGAGGGUGAUCGGCCAAACUGGAACUGAGACACGGUCCAGACUCCUACGGGAGGCAGCAGUAGGGAAUCUUCCGCAAUGGGCGAAAGCCUGACGGAGCAACGCCGCGUGAGUGAUGAAGGUCUUCGGAUCGUAAAACUCUGUUAUUAGGGAAGAACAUAUGUGUAAGUAACUGUGCACAUCUUGACGGUACCUAAUCAGAAAGCCACGGCUAACUACGU